CUUCAUUGGUGUAUUUUUUAGUUCUCUCUCAGAGGAACAUGUUGUUUGCUCUACCCAGAUUGUGUGUGCUGCUUUGUAACAGUAAGAUAGAAACAUUUCUUCAUCCUACUUUGUCAUUUUAUUAAACUGGAUUUUUUUCUCAGUGAAACAUUUACUAAAAGGUUUUUAGAUCCUGUGAGACUGUGAUGACCAAAAUGAGGCAAGUCCAACAGUGUCUCAUUUCUUCUCAACAUCAUAUGAUUCCAGGUUUUUCAUCACACCAAGUCACAAAUUUUAACAAUAAAAAAUUCCAUAAGUCCAUUUUUUAAAUUGUGUAAUGCAACAUAAUCUUACGUAUGUUUCUCAAGACUGUUCUAAUUAAGUAUUUACUGCAUUGUUUGUGGUGGGGGUGUGAGAUAUGGUUGGUUACACAAUUAGAGUACAUACAUUUCUGUUAUUGUAUUGUCAGGGAAUGCCAUCUCUCUGACAUCCAUCCUGCUUUUACCAAAUCAUGAGCCAUAGGAAGAUAAAGAGUUCAGCUUCAUCUGGAGGACAAAUGCUAGGUUCUCCUGUAGAAAGUAUGACUGUUCAAAUCUGUACUUGUCUAUGUUUUAAUUAGCUGCUUUCAAGAUCAUAAUUUGGGUGAUGCCUGAAAGAGUGAUGAUGAAGUCUGCAUGCAGCACAUUGGGUGAUUCAUUUUGCAAAUAUUCUCUGAGGGUGGUCUAUACAUGUGCAUUUCUCACUCAUACAGAGAGAAACAUCAUACAGCAAAAGAGAAAGCAGACGGACAUGCCCAUGGUAAGAACUACAUACUCUAUUCAGUUGUUUGAAGAGAAUAUUGAUUUCUAACAUGAGCACUGGUAUAUUCUAAUACUUGGAAAAAUGAACCUAGUAAACAUGUAGUAAUGAAAAAGCAAGAAAGAUAAUGAGUUGUCUUCUUUUAGACCAAAAGUCCAGCCGCAGGUUAUAGUAGGAGUGUCCCUAUUAGUUUUUUUACAAGACAUGCAUACAUGACAGGAGACUUGGAAAUUGUGAAGUGGAGAGGAGAAGGGAGAAAAUAAGCAUUAUGAAAGGAAGAGAGAGUGAGUACAGUAAGUAAAUAAAGAACAAAAGAAGACGUGGAGGCAGAGAAAUUUCAUUCAUGUAUCAAGAAAAAGAGCAGCCUAUUCAAAAUGUGGAAAGAAAUGGGAGUUUCCAGUUGUGCACAUGACUCAAGGUGUGAAUAUAUUUUCUCACCACUCAUUCCUGUCUUAGUUGUCAUUAGAAAGAAAUUGACAAGUGAAGAAUUAAUCAUGCAGAAAGAAAGUUUUUUUUAACUGAAAUGUUCAUGAAUCCAUGUGUCCAGUCAUACGUUUAUAUAAAAAAAUCAUAAUUAAAACAAAUUUAGAAAGUUUAAAAAUAAGUUAUAUUGUAGAUGUUCUUGCUGCUACCUGGGAUGAUGCACAGAGGGCAGACACAGCAAGAAGGAAAGUGUAAAAGUGUGCAGAAGUGUGCAAAUUAUUAUGGACUGAUACCUAAAUCCAUAGGUUUCUAAACUGUACUUUGGACAAUUUGGAGAGGAGAAGGGGAAUAAACUUUGAGAAAAUGCAUACAUGUCAGGAGAGUUGGAAAUUGUGAAGUGGAGAAGAGAAGGGAUAGAAUAAGCAUUACGAAAGGCAGAGAGAGUAAGUACAGUAAGUAAAUGAAUACAGCAAGUAUAUGAAUAAGAAAGAACUUCUCAUCCUCCAGGUUUGGGAACAUCAUCGGGUAGAAUUCUAUCUCUAUUAUUGGAAGGCACUUGAAGGCAGGGAAAUGAGAAGCAGACCAAGUUCAGACCCAAACUAUCAAACUCUAAUAGAUUAUCUGUUGGGAACCAUAUUGAAAAUGCACAUUCUGACCUCGCUGGUCUGUGCAUCCAUGUUUCCUUAUGGCCAAAGGUGAUUCCAAUCAUCACUAUCUGCAGGCUACCAUGUAAAGAGGUCAGGAAAGGAUUUUCCUGUAGCAAAACUAAGUGCAGAGCCACUGGAACUUCAAGUAUGAUCAAAUGAUUGCAUACAAUUUGUUUUUAUUCUGAUCUUCUCUCUUGAAGAAUGAGAAGGACUCAAAGUACAGAAUUUAGUUUUCUUAGGUCUAGUCCCUAAAUAGGGAAUUAAGAAGGAGUGGGGAUAAUCUAUAGGCAGAAUGUCAAAUGGAAAGAAUCAAGACUAGAGAUUAAGAUGUUGCUUUUGAAAAGUCCCAGGGAAGGAGAAAUGUGGAAAGAACAAAAGAAGCUAGCAGGGUAAUUAAUCUUGGAGGAAAGAAUUGGGAAACUAAGAGCAUGCAAUUUAGGGGUUAUCAGUAUAUCUAGCUUCCCAAAAUAUGUGAGAGACUGUAACUCAUCCAUCAUUUGAAUCGUGAGGAGCUGGUAGGUUGGGGACGAAUUGCAGCCAUGACCAUCUCCUCUGUACCUACCAGACAUACUGCUUGCUGUGGCUUCAACUUGAAUCAUUCUGAGGAGAAAAAUUACAUUUCAGAAUCAUUGGUUGUUUUUAAAGACAGCUACUUCUUUCUCUUUCUCUCUGUUCUCUCUCCUUCCUCCUGUUCUUUCUUUCACUUUUUUCUUUCUUCCUUCCCUUCUUUUGUAUUUGCUUGAAAAUAAAGUCAUGGCCCUGAGCAUUCUGGAAAUUUACUUCAUUAAUGAGCUACAUCCUCAUCCUUCAAAAGCUAAUUAUAAUUUUGUGACAGUUCAGGCCUUUCAUGAAUACACUUAAAACACUGUCAAGUUACACUGAACCAAACUCAUUUGUAAACAGAAAACUUUAUACAGUUUAUUCUUUGAACACCCAAACUGUUGGUCAUAUUUGUGUGUGUGUGUGUAAUAAAUUAUUCUUGAUAUCUGAUAAAGCUAUGCCCUUCCAUUUCACCUUUUCCUUUUGGAUUGCCAUAUCUCAAAAGUUUACACCAAUCAAACCUUAUUUCUUAGAUGUAAGACCUAUCUGUUCUCAUUUGAGGGGAUCACGAAACUAACUCUAAUCCAGUUAUACCAGAGAAUACAGGAAAAGAGGAUGCACAAGAGGAACCAGCAUCUCAUCUGUGAAAACAAUAGGUGGUGUAGCUGUCAGUGUCAAAGUAUGUAUUUCAGCUGACUGAUNUCAGUAAUAU
rnacentral:lncRNA from 1 species